GGAUCAAUAAAUGUCUAACUAAUGGUCAUUUUGAGUUUUUGUAUUUACUAAUGUUUAAGUUUCUAUAUUAUUAUAGUUAUUUGAUGUUGACGUACAUUGUAUUCAACUAUGAGCGUUGUUACAGAUCUAAUUUACUCUAGUUCUAUGUUCGAGCUACUGCGCAGGUGCCCUUUUGUUUUGCUAGAGAAUGAGUGUUUUGGGUCAGCGGUAGCUGCGGGGCAAAAUGUUUUUUUGACCGUAAAAAGUAAUGAAAAGUCUGUAACGAAUGAGUAAUGUAACAAGGUCGGAAA